rnacentral:rRNA from 1 species
CGAUAGCUAAUCCCGCAUAAUAUUAAUUAUUGCAUGAUAAUUGAUUGAAAGAUGCAAGCGCAUCACUAGUAGAUGGACCUGCGUUGUAUUAGCUAGUUGGUAAGGUAAGAGCUUACCAAGGCGACGAUACAUAGCCGACCUGAGAGGGUGAUCGGCCACACUGGGACUGAGACACGGCCCAGACUCCUACGGGAGGCAGCAGUAGGGAAUCUUCGGCAAUGGACGAAAGUCUGACCGAGCAACGCCGCGUGAGUGAAGAAGGUUUUCGGAUCGUAAAGCUCUGUUGUAAGUCAAGAACGUGUGUGAGAGUGGAAAGUUCACACAGUGACGGUAGCUACCAGAAAGGGAC